rnacentral:rRNA from 1 species
AGACGACGCUGGCGGCGUGGAUUAGGCAUGCAAGUCGAACGGUAUCAUCCUUUCGGGGGUGAGAGAGUGGCGAACUGGUGAGUAACACGUAGGUUAUCUACCUCAAGACGGGACAACCCAGGGAAACUUGGGCUAAUACCGGAUGUGAGCAACUUUAGUUGUUUGAAAGGUGGCGUAAGCUGUCGCUUGGGGAUGAGCCUGCGUCCUAUUAGUUAGUUGGUGAGGUAACGGCUCACCUAGGCAAUGAUAGGUAGGCGGCCUUAACGGGUGGUCGCCCACACUGGGAUUGAGAUACGGCCCAGACUCCUACGGGAGGCAGCAGUCGAGAAUAGUCUACAAUGGUCGGAAGACUGAUAGUGCGACGCCGCGUGAACGAUGAAUCCCUUCGGGGUGUAAAGUUCUUUUAUAUGUGAGCAGUGCUUCUUAUAUUAACAGUAUGGGGAGAGAGAUAUUAGCAUAUGAAUAAGCAACGGCUAACUCCGUG